ACGCUCUCGUUGGACGUGACAGUCAGUUACAGUGGGUAAACUAACGAAGGGAAGAAUUUUAUUUAAUCACAGAAUUGAAUCGGGUCUCAUCCCUUCGAUUCCUCGCUGCAUACUUCAAUGAGAAAGGAAAAGAGCUUUGUUGCGUGCUUCUUCGGGUGUGGUUGCAAGAUCUCGCUUUCCGUUCGAAAAUGUGUACGUAGCUUCCUUGUACAAUAGCUCUCUCUCUCUCUGAGAGAGUGAUCGGGAAGCAUUCUCUCUGCCCCUCCGUAUCUGACCCUGAC
rnacentral:lncRNA from 1 species